rnacentral:tRNA from 1 species
GCCCCGGUAGCUCAGCUGGAUAGAGCGCUGGUCUCCGGAACCAGAGGUCGUGGGUUCGAAUCCCGCCCGGGGUAC